GAUGAACGCUGGCGGCGUGCUUAAUACAUGCAAGUCGAACGGACAGGCCCUGCUUUUGCGGGUUGCACGUGAGGCGCACGGGUGAGAAAAACGCGAGUAACCCGCCCCUGUAUUUGUGAUAACAUUAGGAAACUGGGGCUCAUACCGGAUAGGAGCUUUUGAUGCACGGUGGGGGUUGGAAAGUUUCGGCGGUUGGGGAUGGACUCGCGGCUUAUCAGCUUGUUGGUGUGGUAGUGGCUGACCAAGGUUUCGACGGAUAGCCGGCCUGGGAGGGUGACCGGCCACAUUAGUACUAAGAUACGCCCCAGACGCCAACGUGAGGCAGCAGGGGAGAGUAUGGCACAGUGAGCGGAAGCCUGUGACAGCAGCGCCGCGUGCGUGAUACCGUCCUACGGGGUGUAAACCGCUGUCUCCGGUGAUGAAGCGUGAUUGACGGUAAUGAGUAAAGAAGCACCGGCUAACUACGUG
rnacentral:rRNA from 1 species